rnacentral:rRNA from 1 species
AUGUGGCCAAUCCGGCCAUGCGAGCGGGAGUGCUUGGCACGGCAUCCUGCCGGUUCAGAACCUCGCCGUCCCCCCCUCGCGCCUACCGGGCCUCGUCAGCGGCCUCCCCCCUGCAGCGGAUCGCCUCCAGCCCCACUUCUUCGACCUGGUCGCACUUGGGCUUCGAUGGUUUCUCGUCAAGACAACCCUGCGACUGAUGGUGUCGUGCCGGCGGUUGUCCCCGGCGUGCCUCCUGCUGUUUUGGAGCCCUUGCGGCCUCUCCUUGCAGCUCAGGCGGAGGCGCUCGGCGCUGAGUUACAGGCCUUGUUCGCUGCUCGUCUUGAGGUGCUGUUCAAGCCUCUUCAAGACUUGGUUGCUGCUGUGGAGAGUUGGACUGCUCAAGUCUCAAGCCUAUGGGAACCUAUGGAAGAUAUCGGGGGCAGCCAAGACCUUGCCAAUGUUGAAUCUGCUCCUCCUGCUGUGGCCGUUGGUGAGGAUUGCAGUGCGCUUGUUGUGGCUGGCUGCUCAGCUGAGUUGAGUGAGAAGGCUCAGUCCGUUGAUGAUCCGCCUGCCUUGGAAAAGGUCAUGCUCGAGGAUGAUCCUCCUGACUUGGCUUCUGUCCUACCCGGGAUGUCGACACUGGAGGAGCCGAAGGUUUCCAGUGCUCCUUGCACCGGGAAGCCUUCAAAGGAGCUGAUCCAGAUGGGUGCAGAUGAGCCUCUUGGGAGAGCCUCCUCUCCGCGGGGGGAGUUCCUCGAAGAGCUUGCUCUCACUGUGUCGAGCUCGCCUCAAGUUUUGCAGGUGGGAGAGGCUGCCCCUUCUCUCUUUGAGCGACGAAGCUGCCGUUUGGACAAGAAAAACAAAGAUUGCGACAUUCCUGUAGCCAAGCGCGCGGAGUAUAGGCGGGCGGAGGCCUUUGGAGAGGUUCCAACACUCAAGAGCAAAGGAAAAGCAUCUGAGGAAGACCUGAAUGAGAAGAUGCAACACUAUCUGCAGAUGUACAAGAAGGAACACACGCCCAAGGUGAUCGAGGCGGUGCACGCAUUAGUUCAGGCCAAUGCUUGA